rnacentral:rRNA from 1 species
UACGUAGGGUGCGAGCGUUGUCCGGAAUUAUUGGGCGUAAAGAGCUUGUAGGCGGUUUGUCGCGUCUGCCGUGAAAAUUCGAGGCUCAACCUCGAACUUGCGGUGGGUACGGGCAGACUAGAGUGUGGUAGGGGAGAUUGGAAUUCCUGGUGUAGCGGUGGAAUGCGCAGAUAUCAGGAGGAACACCAAUGGCGAAGGCAGAUCUCUGGGCCGUAACUGACGCUGAGGAGCGAAAGCAUGGGGAGCGAACAGG